UACGUAGGGUGCAAGCGUUGUCCGGAAUUAUUGGGCGUAAAGAGCUCGUAGGCGGUCUGUCACGUCGGAUGUGAAAACUCGGGGCUCAACCCCGAGCCUGCAUACGAUACGGGCAGACUUGAGUUCGGCAGGGGAGACUGGAAUUCCUGGUGUAGCGGUGAAAUGCGCAGAUAUCAGGAGGAACACCGAUGGCGAAGGCAGGUCACUGGGCCGCAACUGACGCUGAGGAGCGAAAGCAUGGGGAGCGAACAGG
rnacentral:rRNA from 1 species